CAAGUUUUGAAUAUUUGGAGAGAUCCUGCUAUGGAGAAUUUGAUUGGAAGUUCACAUAGUAUAGGGUUAAUGAUAAAUACACUGAAAGUAUGACUUUAUAAAUAAAGAGAGAAUGGAUAAAGAAGAUGUGACAUGUAUAUACAAUGGAAUUUUACUCAGCUAAAAAAAAGAAUGAAAUCGAGUUAUUUGUAGUGAGGUGGAUGGACCUAGAGUCUGUCACACAGAGUGAAAUUUCUCCACUGGCUGAACUCAACUGGAAGUCAAAGGAAUGAGAAACCAUGGAUAUGAUUUAUACAGGUCAACCUCCUGGGUUAGAGAGCAGGAUAGAACAUAGAUAUGGAGGCGCAAAAUGGUACUAGAUGCUGAUGAAUAAAUGAUGUCAGAACAAUGUUAAUUUAACUUCAAUUUGUGUGUUCUACAAAACUAUAAUUCAAAAAGAUACAUGCACCGCUAUGUUCAUAGCAGCACUAUUCACAAUAGCCAAGACAUGGAAACAACCUAAAUUUCCAUUGACAGAUGAAUGGAUAAAGAAGAUGUGGUACAUAUAUACAACGGAAUAUUACUCAGCCAUAAAAAAAGAAUGAAUUAAUGUGAUUUGCAGCAACACAGAUGGACCUAGAGAUUAUCAUACUAAGUGAAGUAAGUCAGAAAGAGAAAGACAAAUACCAUAUGAUAUUACUCAUAUGUGGAAUCUAAAAUAUGACACAAAUGAACUUAUGUGUGAAACAGACUUAUAGACAUAGAGAACAGAUUGUGGCUGCCAAGGGGGAGGUGGGUGGAUGUGAGAUAAAU